rnacentral:rRNA from 1 species
UACGUAGGGUGCAAGCGUUAAUCGGAAUUACUGGGCGUAAAGCGUGCGCAGGCGGUGAUGUAAGACAGUUGUGAAAUCCCCGGGCUCAACCUGGGAACUGCAUCUGUGACUGCAUCGCUGGAGUGCGGCAGAGGGGGAUGGAAUUCCGCGUGUAGCAGUGAAAUGCGUAGAUAUGCGGAGGAACACCGAUGGCGAAGGCAAUCCCCUGGGCCUGCACUGACGCUCAUGCACGAAAGCGUGGGGAGCAAACAG